CGCGUUGAAGAGCUCAGCGUAACGAGAGACGUUGUGCGAGGUCCCGCACCCGUCGAUCUUCACCUCGUCGAACCCCAG
rnacentral:rRNA from 14 species